AUUCGGUAGUGCUCCAUCUGUUUCAAUUUUGUGGAAUAGUUUGGACAGUAUUGGUAUGAGGUCUUCUAUGAAGGUCUGAUAGAAUUCUGCACUGAACCCAUCUGGACCUGGGCUCUUUUUGGUUGGGAGACUUUUAAUAACUGCUGCUAUUUCUUUAGGAGUUAUGGGUUUAUUUAGGUACUUUAUUCCUGAUUUAAAUUUGGUACCUGGUAUCUGUCUAGAAAAUUUUCCAUUUCCUCCAGAUUUUCCAGUUUUGUUGAAUAUAGGCUUUUGUAGUAGGAUCUGUUGAUUUUUUUAAAAAUUUCUUCAGAUUCUGUUGUUAUGUCUCCCUUUUCUUUUCUGAUUUUGUUAAUUUGGAUACACUGUCUGUGACCUCUGGUUAAUCUGGGUAAGGGUUCAUCUAUCUUGAUUUUCUCAAAGAACCAGCUCGUGGUUUUGUUGAUUCUUUGUAUAGUCCUUUUUCAUUUCUACUUGAUUGAUUCCAGCCCUGAGUUUGAUUGUUUCCUGUUUCUACUCUUCUUGGUUUUAUUUAUUUCUUUUUGUUCUAGAACUUUUGGGUGUGCCGUCAAGCUGCUGACCUAUGCUCUCUCCUUUUUUCUUUUUGCAGGCACUCAGAGCCAUGAGUUUUCCUCUUAGCAUGGCUUUCAUUGUGUCCCAUAAGUUUGGGUAUGUCAUAUCUUCAUUUUCAUUAAAUUCUAAGAAGUCUUUAAUUUCUUUCUUUAUUUCUUCCUUGACCAUGUUGUCACUGAGUAGAGUGUUGUUCAACUUCCAUUUAUAUGUGGGCUUUCUGUUGUUAUUGUUGUUAUGCCUGGGCUGGCAUUUGUGUUCUCUUAGUGUCUUUAAGACAUCUGUCCAGAAUCUUCUGGCUUUCAUAGUCUCUGGUGAGAAGUCUGGUAUAAUUCGUAAAGGUCUGCCUUUAUAUGUCACUUGACCUUUUUUCCCUUACUGCUUUUAAUAUUAUUUCUUUGUUUUGUGCAUUUGGUGUUUUAACUAUUAUGUGACAGGAGGAAUUUCUCUUCUUGUUCAAUCUAUUUGGAGUUCUGUAGGCUUCUUGUAUGUUUAUGGGCAUAUCUUUCUUUAUCUUAGGGAAGUUUUGUCUAUAAUUUUGUUGAAUAUAUUUACUGACCUUUAAGUUGGGAGUCUUCACUUUCUUCUAUACCUAUUAUCCUUAGGUUUGGCCUUCUCAUUAUGUCCUGGAUUUCCUGUAUGUUUUGGGCUAGGAGUAUUUGGGUUUUACAUUAUCUUUGACAGUUGUGUCAAUGUUUUCUAUGGUAUCUCCUGCCCCUGAGAUUCUUCUAUCUCUUGUAUUCUGUUGGUGAUGCUUGUAUCUAUGACUCCUUGUCUUUUUUUUUUUUUUUAGGUUUUCUAUAUCCAAGGUUGUCUCCCAUUGUACUUUCUUUAUUGUUUCCGUUUCCAUGUUUAAAUCCUGUACAGUUUUGUUCAAUUCCUUUGCCUGUUUGGUUUUGUUUUCCUGUAGUCCUUUCAGGGAUUUUUGUGUUUCCUCUUUAAGGGCUUCUACUUGUUUACUUGUGUUUUCCUGCAUUUCUUUAAGGGAGUUCUUUAUGUCCUUCUUAAAGUCCUGCAUCGUUAUCAUAAAAUGUAAUUUUAAAUCUAAAUCUUGCUUCUCCACUGUGUGUGGAUAUCCAGUGUUUUCUCUGGGGAGACCGGGCUCUGAUGAUGCCAAGUAGUCUUGGUGUCUGUUGCUUAUGUUCCUGCGCUUGCCUCUAGCCAUUGGGUUGUCUCUGGUGUUUGCUUGUCUUGCUGUUUCUAAGAGUGACUUGACCCUGCUGUAGGCCUCUGUGUCAGAACUCCUGUAGAACUGUUUUCUUGUUUUCUUUCAGCCUUUCCUGAGAACAGGUGCUCUGAUUUCAAGUGUGUUGAUGCUCCUGGAGACUGUCUUCCAGCUCUAGGUGCAGGCAGGAAUCAAAGGGUCCUGCCCCUGAUUGCUCCUAGGUCCUUGCACCCAUGGAGCACAUUUGGCACUAGAUGAUUCCCUCUUGGGUCUGGACUGUGGGCAGAGGGUAGUCUCCUCUGGCUUCUCAGAACUGUCCACCCUUCUGAGGGUCUAGUUCCGUCCCCCACAGGAUUUGGGUUCAGGGAACAGUUUGGCUGGUUUAGUUCCAACCUGGGCACAGACCUGAACCACAGGUACUGCCGCCUGACUGUAUUCCUGUGUCCAGAGGCAUUGUGUAGUUUCCCCUUGGACCUGGGGUGUGGGCAGAAGUGUGCAGCAGUGCCAGCCUGUCCUGUGGUCUCAGGAUGUCUGUACCUCUGGGUGUUCAGCUCUCUUCCCCAUGUGAUUUGGGUACAGGGAACUCAGAUCCUAUGAUUUUUUGAAUUUCCUCUGAUUCUGUUAUUAUGUCUCCCUUUUCAUUUCUGAUUUUGUUAAUUUAGACACAAUCUCUGUGCCUCUUGUUAGCCUGGCCAUGGAUUUAUCUAUCUUGCUGAUUUUCUCAAAGAACCAGCUUUGGUUCUGUUGAUUCUUUGUAUAGUCCUUUUUGUUUCUACUUGGUUUAUUUCAGCCCUGAGUUUGAUUAUUUCCUGCCUUCUACUCCUCUUGGGUAUAUGUGCUUCUUUUUGUUCUAGAGCUUUUAGGUGUGUUGUCAAGCUGUUGAUCUAUGUCCUUUCCUGUUUCUUUUUGCAGGCUCUCAGAGCUAUGAGUUUUCCUCUUAGCACUGCUUUCAUUGUGUCCCAUAAUUUUGGUUAUGUUAUAUCUUCAUUUUCAUUAAAUUAUAAGAAGUCUUUAAUUUCUUUCUUUAUUUUUUCCUUGACCAAGUUAUUAUUGACUGGAGCAUUGUUCAAUUUCCAUGUAUAUGUGGGCGUUCUUUUCUCUUGUUAUUGAAGACCAGCGUUAGUCCGUGAUGAUCUGCUAGGAUGCAUGGGAUCUGUCUGUUUCUGUUGUCAAAUUUACUUUUAAUGGAAAAAUAUGAUUGACUUUGGAAAGGGCCAGGGAACAAAUGAAAUCAUCAGAGGAGGCAGGGCGUUAUCCAUGAUGAUAUGUGUAAAUCAUAGGGAGAAAGGGAAGGGCAGAGUGAAGCUGGCUUUGAUGUUGUUAGAUGAGUUAGUCUUCUCCAGGGAUAAGCCUCCUAGUUGGUUAUCUAAUUAUAAAUAGUCAUAUUUGAAAUCAUAUGCACGGGAGCAAAGUUAAACAGAUUAAGCAGAAUGUGUAUGUAUGUAUGUAUGUAUGUAUGUAUGUAUGUAUGUGUGUGUAUGUAUAUAUAUACAUAAUAAUGAUUUAGAAAAAAGUUCAUGAAUUUCAGAGUGAGUAAGGGUACAGGAAGGGGGAGAAUAGAGAAAACAACUCUUGUUAGCUGUGUUAUCUUACACAGCUGUGCUAAAUGAGGGCAACAGGCGGGGGCUUCACUCAGAGUUCUCACACUCAGUAACUGAGGUAAGUUUCAGAACUGAGACUUGACUGCAGUUCGAGGAGAGAUGAAUACAAAGUCUAUUGAAGAGAAGUGGCUUCUCUCCCAGAGCCAAGGCCCACGUGGCUCUUGACUCUAAACAACUUUAGAGAAAGCAACUAAUCUUUAUUCCCCAUAAGCCAUAGUAGAGAACAAGUAAAGGAAUCUAGUCAGUUGAACAGAAGUGGAGAGAAUCUAAAAAUAUGUGAGUAAUAUAAUUCAGAUCUUAAAGCUGCUGGGAAAUAAAGGGGAUUCACACCCACACUUGGAAUUCUGGUCAGCAUCACGGUUGCACAAUUGUUUCAUGAUUAACGUUGUGUUUGCAUGUAAAAUUAGUUUAACUCUAGAUUCUUUAUUUAUAAUAUCUCAUUUUAAAAAAUAAAUUUUAAUCUGAGUUGAAAAAUUCAAGGUGGUCUUGCUAUAAAGUCAGUUUAUCAGUAUAUUUUAACAAGAAUGAGAAAGACAUCGAUAUAGACAGAAACAAACAGAGAGAAGGAAACAUUCACUUAUAGAUAGUAUAUUUUAGGGAUCACUGGUGUUAUGAAAGUUUUGGUCCCUAAAAAAUGAGCCAGGGCUUUAUCAGAAGAGGAAAGAAAUUACCAGGAAGUCACUUUGAGAUGGAAAACGGUCCAGCUGGAAUUGGAAGACUAAACAAAAUUUCCCAGAAAGCUAGCAAUAAAAUAACAGCUGACUUAAUUCAAGACAGAUCCAUUCUGUUGCUGCAGUUAUGUUAAUAAGGACCAGAAUGAAUUCUGUGAUAAAGAUAUCGAAUUCUAAAAUCAAUCUGCCAUCUAUAGAUACACCUGUUAAUACUUCUGGAAGAAAUGCCUUGGUGAAACCUGAAGAACAAGGAGUCAGGGAAAGUGCCUGAAAGUACCAUAUCAGUAGGAAGGACCAUGAGCCACCUUAUUCAAGAACUCAAUGUUGGGAUCACAACAAUAGAAUGUGGCUGGGGAACAAAUCCCAUUCCUCUUUAGGGGGAUCAGCAUAGAUUUUACCUAUUUUACCCUUGUUCUUGAUUUCUUUCUUCCUCUCUGCAGCCAAGAUCAUCAGGGGGUUCUCCCCCUGUCAAGUCUUAUUUUCUUCAAUUUGACUGGAAUCAACAGUCCUUUCUGUCUUUUGAAAAAAAGAAAGACAAACUCUUCUCCACACAAUAUAUUUCCUGCCCUAUGCUCCAAAGCUAUCACAUAUGUAGGCUGAUUUAAUUCCUCAGUCUUUUCCAAAUUCCAGGGUAUUUCAGGAGCUAUAUUGUGUAUCUCAUUGAUAUUCAAAAAAGUCAAUAAAACAUUCUUCUGUCUAUCUCUGGGAGAUGUCAUAUUCUCCUUUCAUUCUAUGAGCAUUUCUUUCAAAGGUUUUUUAGAUCUCUCCUAAUUGCUUGACCUGUAGGAUUGUACGUUGUAUUUAUAACAGGCAUUACACCAUAAUGUCUUUAAAAAAUGUUAGAUUCUAAUAUAUAUUGAAACAUCACCAUUUUCAAUCUGCAAAGGCAUUUCCAAGAUAGCUAUUAUCUUUAAUAAAUGUGAAGUCUCAGAAUCAUAUUUUUUUAAAUACAAGGCAAAAGCCCAUAGGAAUUCUGAACAUGUAUCAAAAGAAUGCUAUAUCAACAUAUACCUUAAUUCUCUGAACUCUAUAAAAUGAAACAUAUAAUCUAUUAAUGACAUUGUUCUGAGGAAGUAUCAAACAGUCUGUACUCCUAUUCAAUAUAUCUAAUCUCUGUGAGAUGCCAUGAAAAUUGUUCAAGCCUUUGUGGGUCUUUCUCAUCUAUAACCAUUCCUUUUGUUGUUAUUGCAGAUUCCAGAUCGGAUUGUUCUGAAAGUUCUUUAUCCUGAUUUACAGAAUCCUCUAAUCUCUGUUCUAUGGGCUCCAAUUCUGCAUUCUAUUCUCUCCUUAUUUAAGUCUGUUUACUCUUAUCUUUCUUAAAAUGAAUAUAUACAACUAUAAUUAUUAUUGAACAUAUAAUUAUUUGCUUACUGAUAAUUGAAACAAAAUUAUACAUGGUUCAAGUACUCUCUGUCAUUGUAUUUUCUCCAUCUUUUAACAUCAAAUAUAUUUUUCUUUUUAAUUUCUAGUUCUCUCCUUAAGGACUUUCCAAGUAUCCUACCAUGUCUGUUGACUUUUCAGCUUUUCCUGUUGUUCCCUGUAUCUGUAAUUGGUGUCUUCUAACUCUCCCUGACCCUGCUGUGCUUCUGUCAUUCAACUAGUACAUUUCUAUGGCGCCUACCCCCUCCACUUGGUCUAGCUGGCAGCUCUUGUGGGUUCUAGGCUGGAGACACUGUUUUCCAUGAGAGUCAAACCUCCUGCCCACGCUGGGAAGAUGACUCUAGGCCAGAGCAUGUAGUCACCUGUUCUGGAUCCGGUCCAUAUCUCACAGAGGAACAAACACACAAGCUUCAUUGCUCCAUAGGAGCUCUUAAGCAGCCACAUCAUGGGCUGAUCUCAGCUACUCUGCUGUCCUCCAGGUUUUCUUUUAAAAAAGUCUCCCACCAGGUUAGGAGAUUUCAUCCCAAUCUGGGAAGUGAUUGUUUGCUACCUUUCCACCCAGGAUUUUUCAGGCUCUGAGUCUGGAUUCUGUACCCCAUGUUUACUGAUUACAUUUGUAACAGCAGACUUUUCAUCUACACUCAAGUUCUCAAAAAGAAUGGCUCGGGGCUGGGGAUUUAGCUCAGUGGUAGAGCGCUUACUUAGGAAGGGCAAGGCCCUGGGUUCGGUCCCCAGCUCCGAAAAAAAGAACAACAACAACAAAAAAUAAUAAUGGCUCUGAGACUUCUUACAUAUAAAUAAAUGCAUAGGCUAUAAAUUUAGGCAUGUUUUCCCACUAGCUAAUAAUUGAAUUAACCUGUUUAUUCUGAGUGCUGCAUGGUUGGUUACAUCUCCUUCGUUCUAUGUAUCUGUCUCCUCACAGUUUGGGGCUGAUCUUUGUGCCGGACUCUUUUGUAGAAUCCUCUCUGUCUCUUCCAAAUGUCCCACCUUCUAAUCCUGCUUCAGCUCAGUAGUCAUAGGCUUUCUAUUGACAGGUGAUGCUUUGAUAUAUUGCAAAAGAGAAUCCUUCUCUACAUUACUCCCUUGAAAUGUUACAUGUUUGCAGAGGACUAGACAGCCAAAGAGACAAAAUAAACAGCACAGGUAACCCUACCUCAGACUGCUGCAAUGCUGUUUCCUCAAAAAUCUGCAUCCAGGACUAUUGUAAAAUUGAUGGCUAUAUCAUUCGGCAUCUUAGACUGUUCCAGUCAGGACUUCAUUAGAGCCAGCCCUUUCUAACCAUGCAGAGACUGGACAGCAAAUGUUAUAGGUAGCUUUUAUAGACUUACCAAUGGCCCAUUUUUAGGAGGCUCAAAAAAGUAAAAUGAUACCCCAAAUCAUCAGGAAGCAAUGAUAAGAGAAAGACAUACCUAUUUCCAAGAGGUGGGGUGGAUAGUUUUCCGCUAUUCGCUGGAUGUUGGCUGUUUGCCAUUGUCAUCAUUUAAGAGGGUGGUCACACGUCUGGGACAAGAAAGAAACAGAAUGAGGGAGAUUAAAUUCAGAAAUUUCUUUUUCUCUUUCCUCUAUCUUUCUUUCAUUCCUAGUGUUAGGAGGCAAAAGAGGGAGAAGCAAUGAAAAUAAAAAAGAGAGGAUAUUGGAUUAAUAGAAUAAAGGGCAGAUUGUGAAUCUUAGACUAUAGAGUUAUAUUGGCCAAAAAAAAAUCUUACCUUGGUAAAGAUCUUUACAUAUUGAAACAAAAUUUGGAUAUAUUUGGCUACAGCACGCUAUGUAUCAACUCUUUUUAAGGCGUUGUGACUACAUAAUUCUUAAAAAUACAAUGUUAAGUUCUAUGCUAUUAUAAACUUUUUAGAAUACUUAAUUACUAGUUAAUAGUUAAUCAGUAAGACUUAUGGUCAUGUUAUAUAUUCUAAUCGAGUUGGUUUCAGUAAAAUGAUUUUAAAGUUGAACAGAUAGUAAAUAGCUAGAAACAAACAACUCAGAUACACUAUGGGUGGAUAUAUGGUCUUCAAAAACUCAGGGAUCGACAGAAUAUGGCAUUUAAAGAUGUUUUAUCAUUAUAAGAUUUUUUUUUGAUGGUGAGACAGGUCUGCUCCUGGCUACACCCUCAUUCUACUUCAAGGGAAAAGAUGAGCAUUAAAGAACAUUCAUAUGGCAUUUGCUUCAUAUAUGGCAAGCUAAGUACUGAGAAAGAAACUGUCCUGGCUUCAACUGAUGACAGGAUACUGUCCAAAGUGGACUAACACGACACAGGGAAGUUGAUUGCCAAGCUUUGCCAAGACAAGAUGCCCCAGUAUUAAGCAACCUUCAAAUUCCACAGUAGACAUGCUUAAAAUCUCAUUUUUUUGAACCGGGAAGCUAACGCGAGUCUCUGAUUUUCCAAACUUAACUGUAGUGAAAACUAAUUCAAAGAUCCCAGAAUUGCUUCUUCUCUACUUGCAUCAUUCAUCAAGCAGCCCGACCUUGCGGAUCAGAAAUCAAAGCCCAAUAGGGAAGGGUUGCACAUCAGCCACAAAGAGACACCUAAGGGGUGAGCAACACCUUCCAGCAUGGAAAGAUUACUUUUUGUUUCAGUAAACUUUACAUAUAAAGAGAUAAAGUUGUGACCUCACCGCCUGAUCAGGUGGGCACUCCUGAGGCUGCAGAGCAGAGGAGACCACCAACACUGCCCACCCCUGCCCACAUCCCUGGCCCAAGAGGCAACUGUAUAAGGCCUCUGGGUUCCCGUAGGGGAGGGCCCAGGAGCGGCAGGAUCCCUGCGCCUGAGACAACGUCGGAACCUGAAGGAAACAGACCGGAUAAACAGUUCUCUGCACCCAAAUCCCGUGGGAGGGAGAGCUAAACCUUCAGAGAGGCGGACACGCCUGGGUUAGAAGUGCACAUCCAGACGCGAGAGGAAAACACCAAACGCCAUCUGGAACCCUGGUGCACGGAGGCUCCCAGAAAGAGCGGCGCAGAUCUUCCCGGUUGCUGCCGCCGUGGAGAGGACUUAGGCAGUACCCCACGAGCAAACUUGAGCCUUGGAACCGCAGGUAGGACCAACUUUUCCCCUGCAAGAAACAUGCCUGGUGAACUCAAGACACAGGCCCACAGGAACAGCUGAAGACCUGUAGAGAGGAAAAACUACACGCCCGAAAGCAGAACACUCUGUCCCCAUAACUGGCUGAAAGAAAACAGGAAAACAGGUCUACAGCACUCCUGACACACAGGCUUAUAGGACAGUCUAGCCACGGUCAGAAAUAGCAGAACAAAGGAACACUAGAGAUAAUCUGAUGGCGAGAGGCAAGCGCAGGAACCCAAGCAACAGAAACCAAGACUACAUGGCAUCAUCGGAGCCCAAUUCUGCCACCAAAGCAAACACGGAAUAUCCAAACACACCAGAAAAGCAAGAUCUAGUUUCAAAAUCAUAUUUGAUAAUGAUGCUGGAGGACUUCAAGAAAGACGUGAAGAACUCCCUUAGAGAACAAGUAGAAGCCUACAGAGAGGAAUCGCAAAAAUCCCUGAAAGAAUUCCAGGAAAAACAAUCAAACAGUUGAAGGAAUUAAAAAUGGAAAUAGAAGCAAUCAAGAAAGAACACAUGGAAACAACCCUGGACAUAGAAAAUCAAAAGAAAAGACAAGGAGCUGUAGAUACAAGCUUCACCAACAGAAUACAAGAGAUGGAAGAGAGAAUCUCGGGAGCAGAAGAUUCCAUAGAAAUCAUUGACUCAACUGUCAAAGAUAAUGUAAAGCGGAAAAAGCUACUGGUCCAAAACAUACAGGAAAUCCAGGACUCAAUGAGAACAUCAAACCUAAGGAUAAUAGGUAUAGAAGAGAGUGAAGACUCCCAGCUCAAAGGACCAGUAAAUAUCUUCAACAAAAUCAUAGAAGAAAACUUCCCUAACCUAAAAAAAGAGAUACCCAUAGGCAUACAAGAAGCCUACAGAACUCCAAAUAGAUUGGACCAGAAAAGAAACACCUCCCAUCACAUAAUUGUCAAAACACCAAACGCACAAAAUAAAGAAAGAAUAUUAAAAGCAGUAAGGGAAAAAGGUCAAGUAACAUAUAAAGGCAGACCUAUCAGAAUCACACCAGACUUUUCACCAGAAAAUAUGA